GUUACUUUGGCAGAAUUAGUGCAUUAAAUUUAGAAUUUAUAAAUAUAUUAUUAAGAUAGUAAUAUAAGUAAUA
rnacentral:tRNA from 1 species